CAUUGUUUGACAUGAGUCGUGAGACAGAAGUUAGUCUACAGCUCUACAGUAUGAAAGUUAUUAUCAUGUCCAAAUCCAACACAAUACUUCCAAAAUGGCUCAGAUUUAUGAAAGGAGUUGUUGACAGUGAAGACAUUCCACUCAAUUUAAGCAGAGAGUUGUUACAAGACAGUGGAUUGAUCAAGACAAGAGAAAGUCGGGUGUAGACAGAAGUAAUAGUACCACACCUACAAAGUCAGAUAUUAUAUCCUCGAUUAAAGAUACUUCAUUUGGACAAGAGAAAGUCUGGUGUAGACAGGAGCAAUAGUACCACACCUACAAAGUCAGAUAUUAUAUCCUCGAUUAAAGAUACUUCAUAAGG